UUCUCUCUGCCCGGCGUUGCCAUCCUCGCAGCGCGGGGGCGAAAAGGGACACACAGAGCCCUUCCCGGCUGUGGACAGGAGCUGCCUCGGCUGAAGCUGGAGACGCCAACGAAAGGUGGAGGACGGCCUAGAGUCUGGAGCUGCAGAAGAGGCAGGGCGGAGAGGAGGGGAAAGAAGCAUCUGAACGGCUAAAUUGUGCCAGCAGCGCUGAGAGCGAGAGUCGCGUUUGACGCUUCGCUUCAGGCUUCGUGGAGCCAGGCAGCAAGACGUGCGGCGGCAGGGCGAGGGCUGUAGCUGCUGCGGUGGAUCUGUAAGCGGAGGUUCCGGUUCCGGUACAACUUUGCCCCGCAGCCUCACGGGGUUAUCUCCCCGCAGCGGUGCCGUAAGGAAGGGAUGAGACGUUUUCCAGCACCAGCCAGAGCGUUCAGUGUUACGCGAAGAAUCUGUUCAAAAUGGUAUCGAUGUCUUCUCAGUGUCUCGUGAUGCUCAAGAGAUGCCCCCCGGCCCGGGUUUGCCUGCCGGUCGUUAAGCGUGGUGAAGGUAAGGGGCCAUCCCUCUGCCUGGGGGCUCCCGGCUCUGUCUCCAGCGGGUGCCCCGCAGGUGCGGCCGCGAGGGCUGCCUGGUGGGGAGAGUCGGGGCCCCCAGGGACCGGGGCUGUUUGUCGCCCCGGGGAGCCCAUCCCAGCGCGGGAGCGUGGCCGAGC